GGACUCUCGGCAACGGAUAUCUCGGCUCUUGCAUCGAUGAAGAACGUAUCGAAAUGCGAUACUUGGUGUGAAUUGCAAAAUCCCGUGAACCAUCGAGUCUUUGAACGCAAGUUGCGCCCGAAGCCAUUAGGCUGAGGGCACGCCUGCCUGGGUGUCU
rnacentral:rRNA from 1 species